rnacentral:rRNA from 1 species
UUAAUACAAGAUGGCAUCAUGAGUCCGCAUGUUCACAUGAUUAAAGGUAUUCCGGUAGACGAUGGGGAUGCGUUCCAUUAGAUAGUAGGCGGGGUAACGGCCCACCUAGUCUUCGAUGGAUAGGGGUUCUGAGAGGAAGGUCCCCCACAUUGGAACUGAGACACGGUCCAAACUCCUACGGGAGGCAGCAGUGAGGAAUAUUGGUCAAUGGGCGAGAGCCUGAACCAGCCAAGUAGCGUGAAGGAUGACUGCCCUAUGGGUUGUAAACUUCUUUUAUAAAGGAAUAAAGUCGGGUAUGCAUACCCGUUUGCAUGUACUUUAUGAAUAAGGAUCGGCUAACUCCGUGCCAGCAGCCGCGGUAAUACGGAGGAUCCGAGCGUUAUCCGGAUUUAUUGGGUUUAAAGGGAGCGUAGAUGGAUGUUUAAGUCAGUUGUGAAAGUUUGCGGCUCAACCGUAAAAUUGCAGUUGAUACUGGAUAUCUUGAGUGCAGUUGAGGCAGGCGGAAUUCGUGGUGUAGCGGUGAAAUGCUUAGAUAUCACGAAGAACUCCGAUUGCGAAGGCAGCCUGCUAAGCUGCAACUGACAUUGAGGCUCGAAAGUGUGGGUAUCAAACAGGAUUAGAUACCCUGGUAGUCCACACGGUAAAC